GACGAACGCUGGCGGCGUGCUUAACACAUGCAAGUCGAGCGGUAAGGCCCUUUCGGGGGUACGACGAGCGGCGAACGGGUGAGUAACACGUGGGUGACCUGCCCUCCAGCUCUGGGAUAAGCCCGGGAAACGUAGGGUCGUAAUACCGGAUAUGACUCCAUGACGCAUGUUGUGGGGUGGAAAGCCUUGUGCGGCUGAGGAUGGGCCCGCGGCCUAUCAGCUUGUUGGUGGGGUGAUGGCCACCAAGGCGACGAC
rnacentral:rRNA from 1 species